rnacentral:lncRNA from 1 species
GCUUGACAUCUUAAUGCCACAAUACUCUCCUGCUCCAGGCCCAACCUUCCUCAUUCACUCUCUGAACUAUUUAAGUCAGACUCUGAAGGACAAAGAAGCCGAUUGGCUCAGUUCAGCCCAUGGGCUGGGUCAGGUGAUCACUCAGAACCAAUCAGCUGUGGCCAAGAAGAAAAUCAUGUGAUUAAAAUAUGGCUGCCUAAGCCUACCAAGAACUCUGGAUGAAGGUCAAUUACAAAGAAGGGAUGUGGACCAGGAGACAACAAUAAACACGCUUAAUUCCCACAGACUCGGGUCACUGGAUGCAGAUUUGAUGAGAAGUAAAAAUGCAGCAGCGGGAGAGUCUGAGGCAAGGUGCCUGGCGGAGAGCUAGAUAAACAGAUAGUGCUGUGCCCGGUGGCUCCAGGGGCAGAUCAAAGCCGGAUUUCCCAGCACAGGUAGCAAGCAUGGCAGGAAUCUGGGAGACCUCUCACCCAGUCCCCAACCCACGCUCACAGAUGGAAAGC